GACUUUGUGAAAUGACUUGAUAGGUGUAGGAUAAGUGGGAGCCUAAGUGGGAGCCGAGAGGCGAAAGUGAAAUACCACUACUUUUAACGUUAUUUUACUUAUUUCGUGAAUCGGAGGUGGGGCUCCACUAAUCAUGUCCAAAAACUGCCCAGAAAUGCCUAAAAAUUAGGCUGCAUCCCUAUCGCGUCCAAUCUGCAUUUUGGACAUGGCC
rnacentral:rRNA from 1 species